GUAUGAUUAUAUGCAGCUCAACAAUGCGUGCCCUUGGCAAAAUCAGUUUAAUUGUAAGAAAAUAAACAAACACGCUCGAUUUCGCAGUGAAGUAGCGCUACAGGAAUGUGUCAUGAUAGGUGUCCUAUGAUGCAGCUUUCUGGUCCAUGAAAGAUCUUACUACGUUAUGUCAACAGUUAAAUGGGAUCUGCUGAUAAAGGGUACUA